rnacentral:rRNA from 1 species
CCUACGGGAGGCAGCAGUGGGGAAUAUUGCGCAAUGGGCGAAAGCCUGACGCAGCGACGCCGCGUGAGGGAUGAAGGUCUUCGGAUCGUAAACCUCUGUCAGCAGGGAAGAACGGUCACUGUGCUAUUCAGCAGUGAAUUGACGGUACCUGCAAAGGAAGCACAGGCUAACUCCGUGCCAGCAGCCGAUGCAAAACGGAGGGUGCGAGCGUUAAUCGGAAUUAUUGGGCGUAAAGGGCUGGUAGGUGGUAUGUCAAGUCAAGGGUGAAAGCCCCGCGCUCAACGUGGGAACUGCCUUUGAAACUGGCAAACUGGAGUGUGUGAGAGGAUAGUGGAAUUCCAGGUGUAGGGGUGAAAUGCGUAGAUAUCUGGAGGAACAUCGGUGGCGAAGGCGACUAUCUGGCACAUAACUGACGCUGAGGAGCGAAAGCGUGGGUAGCAAACAGGAUUAGAUACCCCAGUAGUC